AGAAUCAACGCUGGCGGCGUGCCUCAGACAUGCAAGUCGAACGCGAAAGUCCCCUUCGGGGGACAAGUAGAGUGGCGCACGGGUGAGUAACACGUAGGUAAUCUACCUUCGGAUGGGGAAUAACAACCGGAAACGGUUGCUAAUACCGCAUAAUGCAGCGGCACCUAAUGGUGACAGUUGUUAAAGCGGGGGAUCGAAAGACCUCGCGUCUGAAGAGGAGCCUGCGGCGGAUUAGCUAGUUGGUAGGGUAACGGCCUACCAAGGCGACGAUCCGUA
rnacentral:rRNA from 1 species